CACAUAAAAAAUAGCUCUUUGGCUCUUCCCGAAAGCGGCCUGAGGUGACCUCUCAAAAUGGUUCGCUAUUCUCUUGACCCGGAGAACCCCACAAAAUCAUGUAAAUCGAGAGGUUCGAAUCUACAGGUUCAUUUUAAGAACACUCGUGAAACUGCCCAGGCCAUAAAGGGUAUGCAUAUCCGAAAAGCCACCAAGUAUCUAAAGGAUGUCACAUUACAAAAACAAUGUGUGCCCUUCCGUCGUUACAAUGGUGGAGUUGGGAGGUGUGCCCAGGCCAAACAGUGGGGUUGGACACAGGGUCGGUGGCCCAAAAAGAGUGCAGUAUUUUUACUGCACAUGCUUAAAAAUGCAGAGAGUAAUGCUGAACUUAAGGGUUUAGCUGUAGACUCUCUAGUCAUAGAGCACAUCCAAGUAAAUAAAGCUCCCAAGAUGCGGCGCAGAACUUACAGAGCUCACGGACGGAUCAACCCCUACAUGAGCUCUCCCUGCCACAUUGAGAUGAUCCUAACUGAAAAGGAACAAAUUGUUCCUAAACCAGAAGAGGAGGUUGCACGGAAGAAAAAGAUCUCCCAGAAGAAACUGAAGAAACAAAAACUUAUGGCCUGGGAGUAAAUUCAACAUCAAAUAAAUGCUAAUAAAAGUAAAA